GUGCUCACUUUGGCAGCAUAUACACUAAAAUUGGGACAAUACAGAGAAGAUUAGCAUUGUCCCUGAGCAAGCAUGACACACAAAUUCAUGAAGCAUUUCAUAUUUUU